rnacentral:rRNA from 1 species
UACGUAGGGCGCGAGCGUUGUCCGGAAUCAUUGGGCGUAAAGGGCUCGUAGGCGGCCGGUUGCGUCUGCUGUGAAAUCCCGGGGCUUAACCCCGGGCGUGCAGUGGAUACGGGCUGGCUGGAGGCAGGCAGGGGAGAAUGGAAUUCCCGGUGUAGCGGUGAAAUGCGCAGAUAUCGGGAGGAACACCAGUGGCGAAGGCGACUACCUGGCCUGUUCUUGACGCUGAGGCGCGAAAGCUAGGGGAGCAAACGGG